GGUAGAGUCAUCACUGUCGCUCCAUAUAGCCAUCAUAAUCUUUUUCUUCUUAAACUUCUUUUGACCUUUCUUGAGCUGGGAAUAUUCUGAUCUGAAGUGGUCUGACUUCUUGCACUCAUAGCAAAUGAUGGGCUGUUCUUUUUUUUUCUUUACUCAGCUCUCCCUUAGCUGGUGGUCUUCUCUUGCUUUCUUAUCUCCUUCUUCUCAUGAAGUGUCUAAACUUUCUGAUGAUUAGGGUCCAAUCAUCAUCUUCCUUGCUGUUCUCUGAUUUUUUUGUAUC
rnacentral:lncRNA from 1 species